AUGCUUACUUUGGUGGCAGCACAUGUACUAAAAUUGGAACAAUACAGAGACGAGUAGCAUGGCCCUUGCAAGGAUGACACGCAAGUUUGAAAGCGUUCCGUAUUUCUU